GGAGGAAAAGAAACUAACAAGGAUUCCCCUAGUAACGGCGAGUGAAGAGGGAAGAGCCCAAGAUUGAAAGCUGGCGUCUUCGGCGUCCGCAUUGUAAUCUCAAGAAGUGUUUUCCGCUUCGGACCAAGCCUAAGUCCCUUGGAAAAGGGCAUCAUAGAGGGUGAUAAUCCCGUACAUGGCUUGGAGCGCCCGAAGCUUUGUGAUACGCUUUCUAAGAGUCGAGUUGUUUGGGAAUGCAGCUCAAAAUGGGUGGUAAAUGCCAUCUAAGGCUAAAUAUUGGGGAGAGACCGAUAGCGAACAAGUACAGUGAUGGAAAGAUGAAAAGAACUUUGAAAAGAGAGUUAAACAGUACGUGAAAUUGCCAAAAGGGAAGGGUAGGAGGUCAGAGAUGCGGCCUGGGAUUCAGCCUUGCUUUUGCUUGGUGUUUUUCCCAGAUUGCAGGCCAACGUCGGUUUUGGGCACUGGAGAAGGGUAGGAGGAACGUGGCACCUCUCGGGGUGUGUUAUAGCCUCCUACUGGAUACAGCGACCGAGACCGAGGACAGCAGCGUACUCGCAAGAGCGGGCCUUCGGGCACCUUUACGCUUAGGGCGUUGGCAUAAUGGCCCUCUACCACCCGUCUU
rnacentral:rRNA from 1 species